GUCACCAUCAGGUACGAACACACCAUCACCGACGCACACCAUCAGGUACGAACACACCAUCACCGACGCACACCAUCAGGUACGAGCACACCAUCAGGUACGAACACACCAUCACCGACGCACACCAUCAGGUACGAGCACACCAUCAGGUACGAACACACCAUCACCGACGCACACCAUCAGGUACGAACACACCAUCACCGACACUCACCAUCAGGUACGAACACACCAUCACCAACGUACACCAUCAGGUACAAAUACAUGUUACCAAAGCACACCAUCA